UGUAGACGGAACUACAGAUAACAGGAUGUUAGCGGUCAGGAUGACUGAGCAGUGUUUAGUGGAUAAACACUUAAGGAGUAGUAAGGAGAGACUUUCAGGAUGAAAGCGAUACGAACCACGGAGGGAUAGACUAUCACGGAUAGAUAGCCUAAUUGCACAGGAUUGCAAUGGCACAAGGAGUGCAGCAGAAAGGACGCAAUUGAACCUAUUUCACGGAUGAUGUUGGAACCGCUCAGGAAAGAGCAAGCUUGGUAUAAGGAACGCCAAGAGAUAGGGAAGUACUUUGAGUACAUGGAGAUAUCAUGGAUUGAACAGGGAUGAAGCAGGAUGCAAGUUGACGCAUGGAUGGUGCAGGGAGCACAACGAUAGCGGGAUAGCUUAACAAAGAACAGAAGGGCGUGGUCUUCGGACCACGCCCUUU
rnacentral:sRNA from 1 species